UGAGGAUUCUUAAUCUGAUCUUUGAGCCAACCCAGGUACUCUCCCCAGAAUGCCUCAACAGAAACCUGCUGGCCUUGAGCUCUGCUCUGCAUUUCUAGGGACAGGGAACGCUUAUGUUAGCAAAUGUUA